CCGAGUGCGGGCUGCCUCCGGGCGCCCAACCUCCCACCCGUGAAUACCAACCACUUGUUGCUUCGGCGGGGCGUUCCUCCCUGGACGGGGAGGGGCAAGCCGCCGGAGACCACCGAACUUCAUGCUUGAGAGUGAUGCAGUCUGAGCCUGAUAAGCAAAUCAGUCA
rnacentral:misc_RNA from 1 species